GGGAGGACGAGUCGCAUUGUAGUGGUAACGUAACAGCGACAUGGCGCUGAGCCCAUGUAUAAAACCACCCGGGUAAGAAUCAUGGAAACAGCUCAUUCAUCAGCCAGGACUCAAAUGGACCUCAUAAAGUAAGACAACGUAUACAACUGAGAUCAGCACUCUGAGAUCAUCCCAGAGUCAACUCAGAUGUUUCUCCAAAGUGAGACGUCUCGAGAACAGCAGUUUGUGUAUGUGUGUGUGUGUGUGUGUGUGUUUGGCAUCUUUGUUUAUGUUUAAUCCGUGUUUUUUGCCCGCGUGUUUGCGCGUUAAAACGCAUGUGAUUAUACACAUAUACCAGCAUGCACAAUUGUGUAUGUACACUGUUCAAGAGGUCAUGCAGUUCCCCACACAUCCCUUUAUAAUGUCACGUAUACACCACCAGACUCUCUCUCCCCACACAAUCAUUCUCUCCCAUCUAACACAGAUAAUUCGAUCUGCUAUUAUCGCAAAACAAUCCACCCUCUUAGUAACGGUUGCUAGGUCUAACAAACUUGAGGAACAAGAAACAUGACGGCAAGGUGCGGGUUAACUGUGGGCAAUGGAAGGACACAUUCAUGAUGAUUAACUUUAGUCAGGUGACUUUUUUAAUGUCAUGUACAUAAAAAAUACAGAAUCAAGACCUGGGGAACCGACCCUUCCGCUGGAGAGUGAGGGGUUCUGGUGCUCGGGAACACUUUGUUCAACAGGAACCGCCAAAAUCAACACAACAUGAGAGCUCCCUGCUGCAGUUGUUACCAUCUGCACUGUCCUGUGUUGAUGCAGAUGUGGAGACGAAUGUAAUAUGGCUUUCAUGGUAAUGUGACUUUUACCCAGGCAUAGCAUCGUAGAACAGCAAACGGGAACCUCCUUGUUUUAAAAUUGCUCAACUGUUUCACAGAGGGGAAGGGGGCGGGAUCGAGGAAACCGUGAAGCAAAACUUGCAUAUUCUUGCCUAAAAAUCUCUUUUUUUCCCUUUUCUGCAGUGUGGCGCUAUAAAUGUGAGCGUAACGUACUCUAAAUGUGUGUCGUACAGGGAGGUGCAUGCUGUAUGAGCAUGUGAUAGUGAGGAUGGUGUUAUCAGUGCAGUGCUGGGACUAAUUAAAAUCCUCCCCAGCAACCUUUGAGGCAACAACACGGACAAUCAACCUCACUUACGCUCACAACACUGCAGUGCACCAGUGCUUGUUGGAGCAAAGGGAAACUGUGUCCUGCGUGCACACGUUUUUUCAUCUUUUCAUCUGCACUUGCCUGUCAUGUUAGUGUGAGGACAAUUUAGAACCAUGAUGCCGGCAGUGGGAAAAAGCCAGUGUAGGAAAUGAGGGAUGAUGGCGGUGAUACAAUCCCAGAGCUGGAAGCACAGCGGUAUCUACCUGUCUAGACACUGCACAGCUGUCUCCGGUAGAACGCCAGCUGCACGGACCACUAACUGCGUCAGAAAUAUUGACAUGCCAGAGCCAAGACUCUACCGAUGGAGCGCUGAGCGAAGGCCUGCUGCCGUCAUCCACACGCACAGAGGAUGAGGGAUUGAGGGGUUGCGGAGCGGUUUAUCUCUCGUCGCCGCUCUUUUAAGAGAAACGAGAAGGGAUGAGCUGAGACGGAUUGAGUGGACUCAAAAGUAACAGGAUUGUAAUUAUUUACCCUAAACGUCCUGUUGAGACUGGCUGGAAUUUACUCCUUUCAGAACCGGACGCAGCGUGUUUGUGGGGAGCGCGGGGGCCAUCGGGCACGAACGCUCCGAGCUUUGUGUGUGUGUGUUUUUAGCCUGUUCUGCGUCACUGCUGCUCUCUUGUUUAUGCAGAGGCUGUGUGGAUAUGGAGAGGUGGGAUAUCCAAGCCUCCCACUGUCACCUGAUAUCUGUGGAAAAUGGAUCAGAUGAUUGGACGAGUCCACUCGACUCUUCGAGCAGAAAGUCCCGUUUCCCCUCACGUCAGAGCCUGUUGCAAAACCGUCGUUUUGACUCUCGCCAAGAGGUGACGAAGCACGUCUCACAAUUCCCACAGCUAAUGUGAAAAAGAAAGAAAGAUGAAACUUGAGAGUUGGACUUUGAGUCUUGUGCCUGCUACACGCAGGUUGACUGCUGCAACGUAAGGGAGGCAGAGAAGGGCGGACGAGAGGCCGGGUGAGACGGAGAGGAAGAGGCCCAUAUUGAGUUACACAGACGAGGGUCUGUGUAUUCUCGGUGGACCAGGGAAGAUGCAGGCGAGUCUGUGACCUGUAGCACAAGGGCCUCCCCUUGUGUUCUGUUGCAAAACUACAAAUCUACUGAUUUGUUAAGUACAAAUUAAAUCAACAAAACACAGCUGUGACUGGGGGAUCCCAAGGCGUUCCAGGGCCAGUGUGGACAUGCUUGUACUCAUGAUCGGUCAUCACCCAUCCCUCAGGACGAGAGGUAAGACUGGCCGGCAACUGUGGGCGAGUGGAAGACGCGGUCGCACCACAAUCAGAGGAUUGGCCGUUUGAUCCCUGGCCCGGCUUUUUCGCCGCCCACGCUGCUCGGACUCUCGGGCCAAACUCGCACUCCCUGAGGUACUUGAACUCCUUCACUUUGGCUGAGGACGUCAACGAUGCCAAACUCCACAAGAUACCAGAACUUAGGACUGAAUCUUCAUGGCUGAUAUACAAAACAAAGGUUUUCCUAAAGCAUCGGGGCAAAGUAUUUUUUUUAAAAAGCACGCUCAUCCCAGUCGUCGUUGGCCCCCCGGGGGCCCGGUAGGGCCGACACACUAGAAACAGACAUCCUCACACAGCUUCUCCUACGGCCAGUUUAGAGUAAACAAUUAACCUAAGCUGCACGUCUUUAUGCUGUGAGAGGAAGCAGGAGGCGGCGGUGCUCCACAGAUCGAUGUCAAAUCUUACUGCCCAAUACGCAUGAAAUGCACAGCUGGUGAAAAAAAGAAAGAAAAGAAAGGCAGUAUUGAGCUGAAGAACUCCCCCUUUUUCCACGUGCAUCUGUAAAUGGGUUGAUAUCAGCGGGAGGAGGUGCACAACAGAAGGAGCGCUGCUGAUGGUGGUCGUGGAGGCCUGUCGACUCAACGGGGAGCCUCCGUUACUCAUAACCGAGCGCAGAGAGGAUUCGCUGUCUCAUUCUAAUCUCCAGUCUGCCUCUUACCUUGUUUCCUUUUGCCCAUCUCCUGAUGUAACUUCAUGAGCUGCUCCCCAAAGCUCCAC
ensembl:lncRNA